rfam:Gossypium arboreum cultivar AKA8401 contig_61444_1, whole genome shotgun sequence.
AACCCAUGGUGAGGGCACCAUCUCAAUAGAUUUUUGUAUCUCUCCCAUCCAUCAUAUAAAGUCUCUAAAUUGAUCUGAAUAAAGGAAGAGAUAUCAUUCCUCAACUU